CUUUUCCAAAAUGGUUUUACUAUUUUACAGCCCAACCAACAAUAUAUGAGAGUCAGUUUACUCUACAUCCUUGCUGAGGACCUCCGGAAAAAUGUGCAAUAGAAGUGACUUUACAAUUGUCAUCUGCAGAAGAGUUCAUGUGAGAAGAGUUGUUGGAUAUUAUUACUAUCCGGAAAGGGAAGGUCUCAGAGAAAACCCGGCUGCACCACUGCAAAUUUUCUCUACAGAUGCAAGUCUCCACAAUGAAAAACAGCUCAGCUACUUCUGUUACGUGCCCUCUGAACAGCCAUCUCAAAACAUGUCAAAGUAGUGUAUUUGGGGGAAAACUAUUUCCUUCACUCUCCAUUUUGAACUUUAAAAGUCUUCACAAAUUAAAAACCAAGUCAAUUUCUUUGGAGAGAUUUGGGUUAGAGAUUGUUAGAUAAGAGAUAGGCAAAGGAAGGAAAAUAUAAACUGGGAUAAGCAGAAAAGAACAAAUUUAAAUAUAUCAUCUCGUAUCUUCUUGAAUCAGUCUCAGUCCUGAAAAUAGAUCAGGUCAGUUAAACAGCUGUGCUCCAUUCCAGAAGGUGGCACUGCAGAUGAGUUAGGCCUCUAUAUAUGAAACAGGCAAAUAGAACUUUGAAGGCACCAAGCCAAUCAUGAGGAAUCCGUCCCCAUGACACAAACACCUCCCACCAGGCCCCACCUCCAACAUUAGGAAUCACAUUUUAGUACGAGAUUUGGAGGAAACAAAUACCCAAACCAUAUCAACAGUUUAUGUUCUUAGCCAUAGAGGCACUUUACAGAAAGCAUAAGGACUUGGAUUGUCCCAAAACAGGUUAUGGGAACAGGAAAAGGAGGCCUGACUGGCAAAAGGGGACUUGUUAUGUAAAUGAAGCCUCACGGUCUCACAGAAAACCGUAAGAAGUGCCAAUAAGAGACAUUUCCAUGGAAAUAGAAGAAAAACAGAGGUUAAUGUCUGGUGUAAUCUAUAGAUUAGUUUUUUUUUUUAAAUCUCUGGAGCAUCUUUAGAUUGCAGUAGCAAUCUGACAAAUUUUCCUAGAUUAGAGUUUGAAUUAGAUAUUCAAGCAAGCCUUCUGAGUAGUCUAUACAUCAGCUGGCACAAAAGCUGUUUACAUGUAAGUUGCUGUGGUGAUUUCCCCCAGCGUUUAUAUCAAGUUGUCUAGUUUCAGUUAGCAGGACUUCAAGAAAAGCACAGCUUUAAUGUCCAGUGAUUCCAACUAUGAAAAAUGGGAGAAAAUUUUGAAAAUAUUAGUUUGGAGAUUUUAGCUGGGAAAGAAUUCAGGAUACAGUCCAAAUUGUAGGCAAAUAAUAAAAAGCCAAAAACAAUGGUCAGGGCUAGAAUCUAAUAACAGGUGUGCCACAGUUUUCUACUGAAACAUAAUUUUUUUUCUCUCUAGUCUCCAAUUUUUACCAAAGAUUAAUCAUAAUAGGACCAAUUUAUUUUCAAAAUAAGUUUUAGUCUUCUUAUAUUAGGCUUAUUACUGGCAUAAAGUACAGCAAGACUAGUGAUCGGCCACACAGGCUCUUUUUAAGUUGGCUUCGCUGGAAAUUUUUAUAAUGAAUUUCAGAUUAGACUCUAUAGGGACUCUCAAGGCUAGGAAGUCAAGUCAAGGAUUUGCCAUUGGAUUGUGCCUGCAAUAUCUGUCCAAAUUGGAUGCACUGCUCUGUUCUCAAGGUCCCCAAAAUAUCCUGAGGUUCCUAAACCUGUCAAAAAGUGACCUCCUUUACUUACUUCAAGGUCAGGAACCUUGUAAGAGAACCAUGUAGACAAAGUACCAGGCCAGUCUUUCUUUGGGGCUUUUUAUAGGCUCUAUAAAGUCAAGUUCAAGUCCUCAAAGCAGCCUAGUCAUGAAAAUAUGCUAGUCCAGUCAAAGUCUUGGUGAAAUAACUAGUGUCUCAAAUUUUAUCCUGUUACAAAAGAAAACAGAUUCUUAUUGAAUUUAUGCAAAUAACUAUAUUGUCAUAAAUCAAAAGCACUCACAAAUAGUUUCCAAAUUCUGAAGAAAUCAAGUAGAGAGAAAGGUAAAUCUUUCCAUUUUGUAAGCUAUACAAAAGUAUACAUUAAUCAAUUAUUGUAAGCUACAAAUAGCUCAAAAAAGUUUUCUUGACUCUGAAAACAAAACAAA
rnacentral:lncRNA from 1 species